rnacentral:rRNA from 1 species
GAUGAACGCUGGCGGCGUGCCUAAUACAUGCAAGUCGAGCGAACAGACGAGGAGCUUGCUCCUCUGACGUUAGCGGCGGACGGGUGAGUAACACGUGGAUAACCUACCUAUAAGACUGGGAUAACUUCGGGAAACCGGAGCUAAUACCGGAUAAUAUAUUGAACCGCAUGGUUCAAUAGUGAAAGACGGUUUUGCUGUCACUUAUAGAUGGAUCCGCGCCGCAUUAGCUAGUUGGUAAGGUAACGGCUUACCAAGGCAACGAUGCGUAGCCGACCUGAGAGGGUGAUCGGCCACACUGGAACUGAGACACGGUCCAGACUCCUACGGGAGGCAGCAGUAGGGAAUCUUCCGCAAAGGGCGAAAGCUUGACGGAGCAACGCCGCGUAAGUGAUGAAGGUCUUCGGAUCGUAAAACUCUGUUAUUAGGGAAGAACAAAUGUGUAAGUAACUAUGCACGUCUUGACGGUACCUAAUCAGAAAGCCACGGCUAACUACGUG